GAGUUUGUAUCCUGGCUCAGGACGAACGCUGGCGGUGUGCUUAACACAUGCAAGUGGUGCGACGAACCAGAGCUUGCUCUGGGGCAAAGCCGCGAACGGGUGAGUAACACGUGGGUAAUCUACCCCGAUGACUGGGGACAACCCGGAGGAAACUCGGGCUAAUACCGGAUGUGGUACGGAAACAUAAGUUUCUUUACUAAAGGUAGCUUCGGCUUCCGCAUUGGGAGGGGCCCGCGGCCCAUUAGCUAGUUGGUGGGGUCAAGGCCUACCAAGGCAACGAUGGGUAGCUGGUCUGAGAGGACGAUCAGCCACACUGGGACUGAGACACGG
rnacentral:rRNA from 1 species